CCUACGGGGGGCUGCAGUGGGGAAUAUUGGGCAAUGGGCGCAAGCCUGAUCCAGCCAUGCCGCGUGAGUGAUGAAGGCCCUAGGGUUGUAAAGCUCUUUCGCCAGGGACGAUAAUGACGGUACCUGGAUAAGAAGCCCCGGCUAACUUCGUGCCAGCAGCCGCGGUAAUACGAAGGGGGCUAGCGUUGUUCGGAAUCACUGGGCGUAAAGCGCACGUAGGCGGAUUUUUAAGUCAGGGGUGAAAUCCCGAGGCUCAACCUCGGAACUGCGUUUGAUACUGGGAGUCUAGAGUCCGGGAGAGGGGAGUGGAACUGCUGGUGUAGCGGUGAAAUUCGUAGAUAUUCGCAAGAACACCAGUGGCGAAGGCGGCUCCCUGGCACGAAACUGACGCUGAGGUGCGAAAGCGUGGGGAGCAAACAGGAUUAGAUACCCGAGUAGUC
rnacentral:rRNA from 1 species